UUAUAUAAUCGCUUAUUAUAAUAAAUAUUAUAUGUAAAGUACAAUCAUCAUUUGUAACGAUUUCCGUUUUCGUUCACAUUAUUAAUAUCUGCUUAUUUUUUUCAAUUCAUACGCUACAUGUCAACAAUAGUCAGCGGUAACCAGAAACAUCGGAGACGCUUGACCAGCGCAGCGUGGACGAGAGAGUACGAUAGUAUUUCUAUUCUCUUCUUACGGCGCAUUGAGCGCGAGAGAGUAGGACAGUAUUUCUAUUCUUUUCUCACGGUUCGUCGAGCGCGAGAGUAGGAUAAUAUUUCUAUUCUUUUCUUUUGUGUGUAUUACAUAUUUUAUGUAUUUUGUGAACGCAUUUCUUGUGCGCGCUUGCGACACGUUACAAUGUCCUCUACCUAUUAUUCGUCGACUAAUUUUUUGCUUUUGACAGCUACUAUAUCCAUCUCGCACAUACACAUAUAAACGAAUUUUUGUGAUACUUCCCUAUUCGUAAUAAGUGUCUAAGCCUGAUUAUAAGAACUCUACGUCGUCUCUUCCUAUAAGCUAGUAAUCUAGCAAUAGUAACCGUGUAAAUAUAGACUGCAGAACUUUUAUAUUAAGCACAUAUCAUCAUUUCAUCAAGUGACAGCUCUCGAUGAUAUAAAUUUUACAACUUUAUUAUUGCAAAAUGCCAAAAAUUAUUAUUAACGUACGUGCGUAACAUUUUGGAUAUAAAUGCAUAGCAAGCAAACAUCAAUUUUGCUAAGUAUAUAGACGAAUGUAGUACUGACAAAUGCAUGGAAGCAAGUAUCAGUUUUGCUAGGAGCAACUGCUAGGUACCGACGAAUGCACGGAAGAUACAUCUUUGGACCAAAGAAGAAACUUUGUUAUUAUUAAAUAUUUACGAGGAAUACAAAGACAAAUUUCAUGAUGGAAAAGAUUAUGCAAGAAUUAUUUGGGUAUAAACUAAGAGUGCAACCCUUAGCGAUAGCAGGAUCACAUAUAACAGAAACGAGAUCAAAAAGAGAAUACAUUAUAAGAAAAGCAUAGAUGCAAGAUGAAAUAUUUUACAUUUAUAUACAUACGAAAGACAAGGAAAGGUACACAACUGCCCUCCCCCGAUUUUAAUGAAUUUCGAAUAUAUCAAAAUAUGGACAAAAA